GAUGAAGAACGUAGCGAAAUGCGAUAAGUAAUGCGAAUUGCAGAAUUCAGUGAAUCAUCGAAUCUUUGAACGCACAUUGCGCCCAUUAGUAUUCUAGUGGGCAUGCCUGUUCGAGCGUCAUUUCAACCCUUAAGCCUAGCUUAGUAUUGGGAAUCUGCUUAACCGCAGCUCCUUAAAUAUAGUUGGCAGAGCACAGCUGUACUCUGAGCGUAGUAAUUCAUUAUCUCGCUUUCUGAAGACAGUCGUACGAUCGCCACAAACCUAUUUAUUUUUUAAUGGUUGACCUCGGAUCAGGUAGGAAUACCCGCUGAACUUAAGCAUAUCAAUAAGCGGAGGA
rnacentral:misc_RNA from 1 species